GACGAACGCUGGCGGCGUGCCUAAUACAUGCAAGUAGAACGCACAGUUUAUACCGUAGCUUGCUACACCAUAGACUGUGAGUUGCGAACGGGUGAGUAACGCGUAGGUAACCUGCCUGGUAGCGGGGGAUAACUAUUGGAAACGAUAGCUAAUACCGCAUAAUAUUGAUUAUUGCAUGAUAAUUGAUUGAAAGAUGCUAUUGCAUCACUACCAGAUGGACCUGCGUUGUAUUAGCUAGUAGGUGAGGUAACGGCUCACCUAGGCGACGAUACAUAGCCGACCUGGGAGGGGGAUCGGCCACACUGGGACUGAGACACGGCCCAGACUCCUACGGGAGGCAGCAGUAGGGAAUCUUCGGCAAUGGACGAAAGUCUGACCGAGCAACGCCGCGUGAGUGAAGAAGGUUUUCGGAUCGUAAAGCUCUGUUGUAAGAGAAGAACGGGUGUGAGAGUGGAAAGUUCACACUGUGACGGUAUCUUACCAGAAAGGGACGGCUAACUACGUG
rnacentral:rRNA from 1 species